rnacentral:rRNA from 1 species
GCAUGUGGUUAAUUCGAUGCAACGCGAAGAACCUUACCUGGUCUUGACAUCCACAGAACUUCCAGAGAUGGAUUGGUGCCUUCGGGAACUGUGAGACAGGUGCUGCAUGGCUGUCGUCAGCUCGUGUUGUGAAAUGUUGGGUUAAGUCCCGCAACGAGCGCAACCCUUAUCCUUUGUUGCCAGCGGUCCGGCCGGGAACUCAAAGGAGACUGCCAGUGAUAAACUGGAGGAAGGUGGGAUGACGUCAAGUCAUCAUGGCCCUUACGACCAGGGCUACACACGUGCUACAAUGGCGCAUACAAAGAGAAGCGACCUCGCGAGAGCAAGCGGACCUCAUAAAGUGCGUCGUAGUCCGGAUUGGAGUCUGCAACUCGACUCCAUGAAGUCGGAAUCGCUAGUAAUCGUGGAUCAGAAUGCCACGGUGAAUACGUUCCCGGGCCUU